rnacentral:lncRNA from 1 species
AUUCAUCCUAGACACCAGUUUCACACAAGCAUACGAAUGGGUAGACCUCGAAUCAAUCAAAGCAACAGUAGAAGUAUCAUGAAGAGAAAAAGUACCCAUAAUCACAUUCGGUGAUGAUGCCUCUUUGCGAGCAUGAAUGGCAUAAGUCCUUGCAAGAGCUCAGCCCUUGGACCUCACAGUGGAAUCUCUAAGUGUACCUUGGUUACUAGGCCCACUUCCCGAGCUCUUUUGUG